AUCACUUCUUAGCCUUUUGGCUAAGAUCUUGUGUAGUACCUGUUCUUAUAAGUGUAAAAAACAUAUAAAAUUAAAUCAGUAGUCCAAAUUUUCAUUUCUAGACUUAAUUUUGAAGGAAAGUUGCAUGGGUUUUUUUCUCUUUUAUAAUCCUAAUGUUCCCAUAAAUGUGGAGAGUACCUCUU